GAGAGGUUGAGGAAGGAAGCCAAUAUCUGAAGCAUGUACUGUAUUCUCUCGCCUGCAAUAUUUCGCACAUAUAUCAGAGGAACCCACUCAUGAAGAAUGUUCUAUUCUGAAGAUGUUUUAAGUGAGAUAAAGCGGGUUCGCCACAGGUCCUCGAGAGACUGUAGAGGAAGAGCCAUGCACAGGUCGAGGUUCUCUCAAGUUUUUUCCCAUAAUUUUCAUGGUGCAGAAAAAUGGUGUUUAUGUUAUGUUAUGCAAUGGGGGUUUCGUCUAACUGUGGGGAUCUGUUUUUUGUGAGGUAUUCCAUAGGAGAGCUUGAACAUGAUAGAAUGUGAUGGAAGAAUAUCCAUAUGAAGAAGAUAUAGCUAAAUAUGUGGACCAGAUUUCAUAAGCCCUUGAAUCAAAACCUAAAGGGCUUCCAGAUUUCCCUUUUUUCCCCUCUCAUCCAGAUUCUAACCAUUCAUCGCUUCAAUCGCAUCUCUCAUAGCCUGCUCCGAUGCAAACGUCACAAAUCCAAAUCCCAUCGACCUUCCAGUCUUACGAUCAUUGAUUUCAUCAGCCAUGCGCAUUUGGGUCCUUUAAAAUGCUAAAGAUUGCUCUGCCUAGCACUGUCUCUAUGAUACAUAAGGAUUUGCGCUUUAAUGAAGAUAAUCAUGAUUGUUUCAGAUUUCUGGUGGUUAUGAAAGAAGCUAUGGCUAUAACAAAAUAAUCUCAAAGCAAGCACUACGGAUCUAACUGUUUGUUUAAAGGAAUGCAAUCCAGGGAAUAUGGCUGCUGCAAUCCCUACUUUAUAGGUUGAAGAUAAUAUCCGCAAGUUUGCAAUGACAGGUUUACUCCCAUCGCUGAUCGGAGUGGUUACCUUCGAGACUCGCACGAUUUUGCUCAUAUUUGUGCUGCAUGUAUCAUAGGAAAGCUGAUGUAGCGUUGAUUUUGUUACAUUAUUUUUGGUCGCAUGGAUAUUGGGAGAAGCACAAAAUGAUUGGUGUAAGUCAUGUAGACAAGCAAGAGGAUUAAGGAGAAAAGGCGAACAUGCAGAUGCAAUGCGUUUGUAUCUAUCUAUAUCUUUUUUUCUACUAUAGCCUUCUAAUCAAUAUCAUAUCAUUGUGAUUCUAAACACUGCAUUAGAGAACAAAUGUGUCUUAUAGUCUUGAUUCUGCAUUUUUGCCUAUUUUAUGCCGAAUACUGCAUGAGCCUCAUUUACUUUGGUUUUAUCAGAUCCCAAUUAAAAUUACUUCUUUCAGUUUAUAGUAUUUUUAUCUGCAAUCACAAAUAGUAUAACUUUAGUGACAUUAAUUGAACAGACCUUACUUUUAAAGCUUCAACUACAAGUUUGGCAUCUGAAGAUCUAACUUUGACCGUCAACUCCAAUGAGCUCUUUCGUUUGUUUUGCUGAGUUUUUUUUGAAGAGUGAAUGAUGAAAGAGGUCUUGGAGACACCGGGGGAGCAGAGAUUCAUGUCUAUUAUGGAUGAAAACUAGAAACAAAGUUAUGAUGGUGAAGUUCAAACAGUUUCUAUGAGUGAUCUUUGAUUGAAAGUAGCUGCGUUUUCAGAAGGAGAAAGCUCUUUAAGACUAUGGAACAGCUGCUGGAACAGAAGGAAAAUGAUCUUGAAGUUCAUGGCCUGGAGCAGGAGAAGCUUCACUUUGAGAUGUACUGUUUCUGUUGGGGUUAGCUAUGUCUACAUAUAUAGAGCUUAACUGAACAGGGUUGAAGAAAAUAUGCGCAAGUUUGCAAUGACAGGUUUACUCCCAUUGCUGAUCGCGGUGGUUACCUUCGAGAUUCACACGAUAUCGCUCAUAUCAAUGCUGCAUGUAUCAGAGAAAAACUGAUGUAGCAUUGAUUUGUUCCUUUAUUUUUGGUAUAGUUCUCUAUCUGACUGAGUUUCUAUUGCAUUUUUUCCCUCAAGGGUGGUCCUUUGCUCCAUUGUCAAGGACAUGACUGUUGCUGAUUUAGUUUGCAUUUAGGAGAAACCUUUUGAACUUUGAUAUACUGAUCACCAGAUUUUGAUUGAUGGAUUGAUACUUUUUGGAUAAUGAUAUUAAUGGUCACAUAGCGAAGCGCUAAACUAAAUGGAGUAAUUCCAUUCUUGCAAAAUGAGCUCAAUUCCAUUAAGGAAAUGGAGAAAAGCUCUCAAAUAGAUGAGUGACUGAACCAACUGGAAAGAAGUUUCAUGUGAGAAUGUUACAUAUUACAACAGAAGAACUCAAGGCAUUAAAUAGAGUUAUAUUUUUUAUUAGAGAAGAAGCCUUUUAGCUUAUUGGCUGUGUGUUAUUUGAUGAAGUCUGGGCCUGGAGGCUGAAAAUGGUACUAAUUGAGAAUAAACUUGAGUAUUAUGUCAUUAGUUUUUUCAUAAAUUUUUAAAGGCAUUGGAGUUACAUUCUUAUUAGGAUUGUACUUUCAUUCUUGAACAGAGAGUGACUGAGCAACAGGAUAAGGAAGGAUCUGAAGUUGUUUUAGAGGAUGAAGUGCGAACUCAGACUAAUUAAUCUCUCUCUAUCUGUUUGUAUGUUUUAUGAGUUCAGGUUGAGUUUGGUCAUCUCAGGAACUUUUGGAUGCACCGCCUCAAGUGUGCAGGUGAUUUAAUAAAAGAAAUGGAGGGAAGUGGGUAGUGUGUUCAGGAUCUCAGCUAUGAUACCUUUCUUAGUAAUUAUUAUGUGGCACAUCUGAGCUAUUCUCAGCUAUUCUUAUGAUAAGAUAGACAUGUUCCCUUGCUAUGUUGAAUAUGUAUUUAUAUAGUGUGAUGUCAAUCUAUUCGUUUAUUCCAAAAACUGAAAGUGAACUUGGUUGUCCUUAGUGUUAUAAAUAAUUUGUGAUGAAAUAUUCCGAAAUUAAUAGAACAAAAAGGUGGUUGAGUUAAUAAGCAUUGUAGGGUUGUUAUGAUACGAUAAAGAUUGAAUGCAAUGUAUACAUGGUAAGGUGGACAUGCAGAUAGUUUAUGUCUCAAGAUGAUGGUUUCAAGAAACUAUGAUAAACUUGCUUAUGUUUCUUUCAGGUUUGCUGCACUUAUGUUAGAUGACUUCAAGACUUGGGACUUUCAUGGUUAAUGUUGGAAAAACUUGGAAGUAUUUGAAAUAUUAGAUUCAGAGAAGUUAUUAAAUUGCACGAGUUAGACCACCCAUUGGUAUAUUUUGGGGUUUUUUUUUAACUAUGAAAAGCUAGGAUCAUUUAAAUUUAGUCAUUUCUUUCAGAACCAAUGUAAUUAGUAAGGUCCAUUCAUGAAUCUCUUUCAAUGAAAUUGUCCC